rnacentral:rRNA from 1 species
AGCAGUAGCCGCGGUAAUACGUAGGUCCCGAGCGUUGUCCGGAUUUAUUGGGCGUAAAGGGCGUGUAGGCGGCCUGGGGCGUCCCAUGUGAAAGGCCACGGCUCAACCGUGGAGGAGCGUGGGAUACGCUCAGGCUAGAGGGUGGGAGAGGGUGGUGGAAUUCCCGGUGUAGCAGUGAAAUGCGCAGAUACCGGGAGGAACGCCGAUGGCGAAGGCAGCCACCUGGUCCACUUCUGACGCUGAGGCGCGAAAGCGUGGGGAGCAAACAGGAUUAGAUACCCCUGUAGUCCCUGUCUCUUAUAC